CCUACGGGGAGCUGCAGUGAGGAAUAUUGGUCAAUGGACGAGAGUCUGACGCAGCGACGCCGCGUGAGGGAUGAAGGUCUUCGGAUCGGAAAACUCUGUCAGCAGGGAAGAACGGUCACUGUGGUAAUCAGCAGUGAAUUGACGGUAUCUGCAAAGGAAGCACCGGCUAACUCCGUGCCAGCAGCCGCGGUAAUACGGAGGGUGCGAGCGUUAAUCGGAAUUACUGGGCGUAAAGCGAGCGUAGGCGGUAUGUCAAGUCAAGGGUGAAAUCCCCGCGCUGAACGUGGGAACUGCCGUUGAAACUGGCAAACUGGAGUGUGUGAGAGGAUAGUGGAAUUCCAGGUGUAGGAGUGAAAUCCGUAGAUAUCUGGAGGAACAUCAGUGGCGAAGGCGACUAUCUGGCACAUAACUGACGCUGAGGAGCGAAAGCGUGGGUAGCAAACAGGAUUAGAUACCCUGGUAGUC
rnacentral:rRNA from 1 species